GGAAAUGUAGCUGUUUCUAAUCUCACAGCACACACAUUGACCAGCAAACAGACUCUGAUGUUAAACGUGGGUUGACUUUCACUUCAUUCUCUUUCUCUGUAGCCUGGUUUUGUGAACUUACUGGACUACCCAGAACCGGACGUGUGCCUAAGGACGUCCAAAUUCAAUAAAAUCUAACAGAAUACGUGAUCAUUGGCUGGACAAUCCUGGACUUUGACAGACUGGCGGUUAAGAAAAGACAUGGAUGAUUUGUGAAGGAAGCUGAGCCAAGUGCCUCCCGUCCAGGGUUUUCUUCAUCGUCUAGUCCCGUGAAGAAUCAUCAAGGUGGUUGUUGCGUACACUUAUCUUCAGACGGCAUCCUUCGACUGUCAAGUCAGAAAGCGUGCAUGUGUAUAGAGGUCACCGUCUGAAUAUGUAAUAGAAGCAGACAUUCCUGGAGAUACAGUUAACAGGACUCAGCGGGGGUUGAGAGUGUUGCAGUAAUCAGGGUUGAGAUGGUGCUUGUUAUAUUGGGCAACUUGCUGGUGGUGGCACAAAUGGAGUGAGUGUGCCUGCAAUUUAAUGUCUGCUGAGUGAGAGUGGUGGUGAGGUGAGAUGGCAGUGGCCCGUAAGCAAUUCCUUGCAGGUUGAUUUUAG
rnacentral:lncRNA from 1 species